CGUGCUUAACACAUGCAAGUCGAGCGGUAAGGCCUUUCGGGGUACACGAGCGGCGAACGGGUGAGUAACACGUGGGUGAUCUGCCCUGCACUCUGGGAUAAGCUUGGGAAACUGGGUCUAAUACCGGAUAUGACUACAGCAUGCAUGUGUUGUGGUGGAAAGAUUUAUCGGUGCAGGAUGGGCCCGCGGCCUAUCAGCUUGUUGGUGGGGUAAUGGCCUACCAAGGCGACGACGGGUAGCCGACCUGAGAGGGUGACCGGCCACACUGGGACUGAGACACGGCCCAGACUCCUACGGGAGGCAGCAGUGGGGAAUAUUGCACAAUGGGCGGAAGCCUGAUGCAGCGACGCCGCGUGAGGGAUGAAGGCCUUCGGGUUGUAAACCUCUUUCAGCAGGGACGAAGCGUGAGUGACGGUACCUGCAGAAGAAGCACCGGCUAACUACGUGCCAGCAGCCGCGGUAAUACGUAGGGUGCGAGCGUUGUCCGGAAUUACUGGGCGUAAAGAGUUCGUAGGCGGUUUGUCGCGUCGUUUGUGAAAACCCGGGGCUCAACUUCGGGCUUGCAGGCGAUACGGGCAGACUUGAGUGUUUCAGGGGAGACUGGAAUUCCUGGUGUAGCGGUGAAAUGCGCAGAUAUCAGGAGGAACACCGGUGGCGAAGGCGGGUCUCUGGGAAACAACUGACGCUGAGGAACGAAAGCGUGGGUAGCAAACAGGAUUAGAUACCCUGGUAGUCCACGCCGUAAACGGUGGGCGCUAGGUGUG
rnacentral:rRNA from 1 species